rnacentral:rRNA from 1 species
UACGAAGGGGGCUAGCGUUGUUCGGAAUUACUGGGCGUAAAGCGCACGUAGGCGGAUAUUUAAGUCAGGGGUGAAAUCCCGGGGCUCAACCCCGGAACGGCCUUUGAUACUGGGUAUCUAGAGUCCAGAAGAGGUGAGUGGAAUUCCGAGUGUAGAGGUGAAAUUCGUAGAUAUUCGGAGGAACACCAGUGGCGAAGGCGGCUCACUGGUCUGGUACUGACGCUGAGGUGCGAAAGCGUGGGGAGCAAACAGG